UCUUGGGCUGGGUUUCUCUGUAAAUGCUCUUUGGUGAGAGAUACCCAGCCUUCUGGGACCUUGGCUUCCUCUUCCAUGCCAGGAGGGAGGUGACCUUUGAAGGUCUUUUCUGUAUUUAACCUUUUCCGUUUUCUCUGGUCUCAGUGACAGGGAUUUUCAGCAAAUGCUCUAAGCUGCUUCUAUGUGGGACUCACUCUCAUCAUUCCCGGGAAUGUCACCCGAGGGCACGGAGAAUGGAAGUGAAUUAUGAUACACAGAGGACUUGAAAGCAGGGGCUCACGUAUCCCACACUGGCCUAGAACUGGCGAGGAAUCUAAGGAUGACCUUGAACUUCUGAUCCCCCGGCCCGAACCUCUCCAGUACUGGAAUUAGAAGUGUGCACCAUCAUGCCCGGCUUAUGUAAUGCUUGGGAUUGAAGCCAGGACGUGGACCAAAACGAGGGCAGAGAACCCAGAGAUGCGGCGGGAGGCGGAGCAGCCAGAAUGCCGAGGAGAGGCAAGAAGGAGAGAGAGGACCUCGUCUCUUCUGCCACCAUCAACCAGAGACAUCGCUCACUGUUGUGAAUAAGAGAAAGGACCUCUCUUCUCUCAUACUAAGAGCAGACAGAACAUUACCUCAAAACAAUGGUCUCUUCUUCCAUUUCAACUGAUGUAACUUUAUAACAAAAAUCUAUCUAUCUAUCAUCUAUCUAUCGAUCCAUUUUCUAUCUAUCUAUCUAUCUAUCUAUCUAUCUAUCUAUCUAUUCAUCUAUGUAUCAUUUAUCUAUCUAUCUAUUCAUCUAUGUAUCAUUUAUCUAUCUGUCUAUCUGUGUGUCUAUCUAUCAUUCAUCUAUCAUCUAUUCAUCUAUGUAUCAUUUGUCUAUCUAAUUUUUUUGGUAGAAUCUUACUAUGUAACCCUGGCUGGCCCAGAACUCACAGAACUCCACCUGCCUAUGUCUUCUGAGUACUGGGAUUAAAAGUAUGCUCCACUGUA